rnacentral:sRNA from 1 species
GCAAACAAUUUCUGUCGGAGAGCGCCCAUCGGCAGCUCGUCCUGAUGCGUGAAGUGCCUGCUGGGUUAUUCUCGAUCCGAGUUGUUGCUUCGUUGGCUGGCUCCACAACUUCCAUACCACACGCGCUUUUUUGGACACGUUUUGGGAGCUUUGUUUGUUCCCGGGCAAAACGUGAACGGAACCCAAAGGGGAAUUAAUAAAUUCAAGACUGUUGCCAAGGCGUAGGCCUGUCGCCUGAGAAGUACAAAACUUAGAUUUGUUUAUAAGAGGCAAAACGGGUUUCGUAUUUCAGACAGACCGCAUACAAGGCAGAUCAGAGACGCCAUGGAAAAUAACCUUAGCUCUGUACCAAUGGAAGGCUGCGGCUGAUCGAUUUGAAGGUAUUUCUGUGGAGUGGAGGUUUUUUGCCCCGAAUACGAAACAAGUUCGAUAAGAAAACUAUUUUUGAGUGGGUUGCAAAUAUCAUUGUAAGCCAAAAUCAAAAAAAAAAAACUACUUUACUUUGUCCAGCUUUAA